ensembl:lncRNA
AGAUGAGGGGCCAGAGAUGACGGGGUAAUAGUUAGAUUAUUAUUAUUUUUCAUUUUUUUUAACCUUUAUUUAACCAGGCAAGUCAGUUAAGAACAAAUUCUUAUUUUCAAUGACGGCCUAGGAACAGUGGGUUAACUGCCUGUUCAGGGGCAGAACGACAGAUUUGUACCUUGUCAGCUCGGGGGUUUGAACUUGCAACCUUCCGGUUACUAGUCCAAUGCUCUAACCACCAGGCUACCCCGUCAUCUAACCCUUAUCCUACAAUCUAACCCUUACAAUACAAUCUAACCCUUACCCUACAAUGGGGCCCAUUGUAGGGUAAGGGUUAGAUUGUAGGGUAAGGGUUAGAUUGUAGGGUUAGAUUGUAGGGUAAGGGUUAGAUUGUAGGAUAAGGAUUGUAAGGUAAGGGUUAGAUUGUAGGAUAAGGGUUAGAUGACGGGGUAAAGGUUAGAUUGUAGGAUAAUGGUUAGAUUAUAGGGUAAGGGUUAGAUGAUGGGAUAAGGGUUAGAUUGUAGGGUAAGGGUUAGAUUGUAGGGUAAGGGCUAG